rnacentral:rRNA from 1 species
AGAGUUGAUCAUGGCUCAGGAUGAACGCUAGCGGCAGGCAUAAUACAUGCAAGUUGAACGGGGUUAGUUGAGUAGCAAUACAAGGCUAUGAGAGUGGCGUACGGGUGCGUAACGGGUAUGCAACCUGCAUUUAUCUGGGGGAUAGCCCCUCGAAAGAGGGAUUAUACCGCAUAAUAUGGUCGAAAGGCAUCUUUUGCCAUCAAAGCUCCGGCGGAUAAAUAUGGGCAUGCUUGACAUUAGGUAGUUGGCGGGGUAAUGGCCCACCAAGCCUACGAUGUCUAGGGGGUCUGAGAGGAUGCUCCCCCACACUGGUACUGAGACACGGACCAGACUCCUACGGGAGGCAGCAGUAGGGAAUAUUGGUCAAUGGGCGAAAGCCUGAACCAGCCAUGCCGCGUGCAGGAUGACGGCCCCUAUGGGUUGUAAACUGCUUUUGUACGGGAAGAAUAAGCUCUACGUGUAGAGUGAUGACGGUACCGUAAGAAUAAGGAUCGGCUAACUCCGUGCCAGCAGCCGCGGUAAUACGGAGGAUCCAAGCGUUGUCCGGAUUUAUUGGGUUUAAAGGGUGCGUAGGCGGUUUGAUAAGUCAGUGGUGAAAGUUUGCGGCUUAACCGUAAAAUUGCCAUUGAAACUGUCAGACUUGAGUAUGGUUGAGGUAGCUGGAAUGUGUCAUGUAGCGGUGAAAUGCUUAGAUAUGAUACAGAACACCAAUUGCGAAAGCAGGUUACUAAACCAUAACUGACGCUGAGGCACGAAAGCAUGGGGAUCAAACAGGAUUAGAUACCCUGGUAGUCCAUGCUGUAAACGUUGAUUACUCGUUGUUGGCGAUACACUGUCAGCAACUAAGCGAAAGCGUUAAGUAAUCCACCUGGGAAGUACGACCGCAAGGUUGAAACUCAAAGGAAUUGACGGGGGCCCGCACAAGCGGAGGAGCAUGUGGUUUAAUUCGAUGAUACGCGAGGAACCUUACCUGGGCUUGAAUGUGAGUGUCCGGCUGGGAAACCAGCCUUCUCUUCGGAGCACAAAACAAGGUGCUGCAUGGCUGUCGUCAGUU